UACGUAGGUGGCAAGCGUUAUCCGGAUUUACUGGGUGUAAAGGGCGAGUAGGCGGGAUUGCAAGUCAGAUGUGAAAACUAUGGGCUCAACCGAUAGAGUGCAUUUGAAACUGCAGUUCUUGAGUGAUGGAGAGGCAGGCGGAAUUCCCGGUGUAGCGGUGGAAUGCGUAGAUAUCACGCAGAACCCCGAUUGCGAAGGCAGCAUACCGGUGCACAACUGACGCUCAGGCACGAAAGCGUGGGUAUCGAACAGG
rnacentral:rRNA from 1 species